rnacentral:rRNA from 1 species
GAGACGCUUCAGCUUGCUGGAGCUAGUAAAGUGGCGUACGGGUGAGUAACGCGUGGGUAAUCUAUCUCUGAAUUGGGGAUAACAUUGCGAAAGCGAUGCUAAUACCGGAUAAAAUCCAUUAGACCUCGGUUUUUAUGGAUCAAAGGUGGCCUCUACAUGUAAGCUACUGUUUGGAGACGAGCUCGCGUACCAUUAGCUUGUUGGUAGGGUAAUGGCUUACCAAGGCAACGAUGGUUAGCUGGUCUGAGAGGAUGAUCAGCCACACUGGAACUGACACACGGUCCAGACUCCUACGGGAGGCAGCAGUGAGGAAUUUUGCGCAAUGGGGGAAACCCUGACGCAGCAACGCCGCGUGAGUGAUGAAGGCUUUCGGGUCGUAAAGCUCUGUCAAGUGGGAAGAACCCGUGCCGUACAAAUAGUGCGGUGCGCUGACGGUACCACUGAAGGAAGCACCGGCUAACUCCGUGCCAGCAGCCGCGGUAAUACGGGGGGUGCAAGCGUUAUUCGGAAUCAUUGGGCGUAAAGAGCGCGUAGGCGGUCUUCUAUGUCAGGUGUGAA